ACGACAUGCGGUUUAAUUUGAUGCAAAGCGAAGAACUUUACUAGGGCUUGACAUCCCGCAAAUACUCUUGAAAUAGAAGGGUGCCUUCGGGUACACGGACACAUGUAGUGCAUGGCUGUCGUUAACUCGUGCCGUAAGGUGUUGGGUUAAUUCUCGCAACGAGCGCAACCCUCGUGUUUAGUUGCCACCGUCGAGUUUGAAACCCUAAGCAGAUUGCCUGUGAUAAGCCAGAGGAAGGUGAGGAUGAUGUCAAGUCAUCAUGUUCCUUAUGCCCUGGGAGACACACAUGCUACAAUGGUCAGGAUAAAGGGUCACGAUCCUACAAGGGUGAGCUAACUCCAAAAACUCGUAUUCAGUUCGGAUUGUAGGCUGCAUUACAAUACA
rnacentral:rRNA from 1 species